rnacentral:rRNA from 1 species
GAUCCUGGCUCAGGACGAACGCCUGGCGGCGUGCUUAACACAUGCAAGUCGAACGGAGAUAUUAAUGAAGCUUGCGAUUUAAUAUCUUAGUGGCGGACGGGUGAGUAACGCGUGAGCAACCUACCCAUAAGAGGGGGAUAACAGUUGGAAACGACUGCUAAUACCGCAUAAGCUGGUUGAGACACAUGUUUUAAUCAGUAAAGAUGGCCUCUGAAUAUGCUAUCACUUAUGGAUGGGCUCGCGUCUGAUUAGCUAGUUGGUAGGGUAAUGGCCUACCAAGGCAACGAUGGUUAGCUGGUCUGAGAGGAUGAUCAGCCACACUGGAACUGAGACACGGUCCAGACUCCUACGGGAGGCAGCAGUGAGGAAUAUUGCGCAAUGGGGGAAACCCUGACGCAGCAACGCCGCGUGAGUGAGGAAGGUUUUCGGACCGUAAAGCUCUGUCGAGCGGGAAGAAAUGCAUAAUGGCUAAUAUCCAUUGUGCUUGACGGUACCGCUAAAGGAAGCACCGGCUAACUCCGUGCCAGCAGCCGCGGUAAUACGGGGGGUGCUAGCGUUGUUCGGAAUCAUUGGGCGUAAAGAGCGUGUAGGCGGCUGGAUAAGUCAGAUGUGAAAGCCCUGGGCUUAACCCAGGAAGUGCAUUUGAAACUGUUCAGCUUGAGUAGGGGAGAGGAAAGUGGAAUUCCUGGUGUAGAGGUGAAAUUCGUAGAUAUCAGGAGGAACACCGGUGGCGAAGGCGACUUUCUGGCCCUAUACUGACG